rnacentral:rRNA from 1 species
GAAAUCAGGCGAAGCGACAGGGAUUUAAGUGCUGGCUCGUAAGAGUCAGCUGUUUCUCUGUCUAAAAAACAGGGAGAGUAAGAGCUGGGUAAGACGGGUGCCAGCCGCCGCGGUAAUACCUGCAGCUCAAGUGGUGGCCGCUAUUAUUGGGCCUAAAACGUCCGUAGCCGGUUUCAUAAAUGCCUGGGUAAAUCAUACGGCUUAACCGUAUGAAUUCCGGGUAGACUGUUUAACUUGAGACCGGGAGAGGCUAGAGGUACUCCUGGGUAGAGGUGAAAUUCUUGUAAUCCUAGGGGGACCACCAGUGGCGAAGGCCGUCUAGCUAGAACGGGUCUGACGGUGAGGGACGAAGCCCUGGGGAGCAAACGGGAUUAGAUACCCCGGUAGUCCAGGGUGUAAACGCUGCUCGCUUGAUGUUAGUCGGGCUCCGAGCCCAACUAGUGUCGGAGAGAAGUUGUUAAGCGAGCUGCCUGGGGAGUACGGUCGCAAGACUGAAACUUAAAGGAAUUGGCGGGGGAGCACCGCAACGGGUGGAGCGUGCGGUUUAAUUGGAUUCAACGCCGGAAAACUCACCGGGGGCGACGGUUAUAUGAAGGCCAGGCUGAUGACCUUGCCAGAUUUUCCGAGAGGUGGUGCAUGGCCGUCGUCAGUUCGUACCGUGAGGCGUUCUGUUAAGUCAGACAACGAACGAGACCCUCAUCUUUAGUUGCAACUAGUAAGUUCGCUUACUAGGCACACUAGAGAAACCGCUGGCGAUAAGUCAGAGGAAGGCGAGGGCAACGGUAGGUCAGUAUGCCCUGAAUCCCCCGGGCUACACGCGCGCUACAAAGGCUAGGACAUGGGUUUCGACACCGAAAGGUGAAGGCAUCCCGAAACCUAGUCAUAGUUCGGAUUGAGGUUUGUACUCACCCUCAUGAAGUUGAAUCCGUAUA